CCCGCACAAGCGGCGGAGCAUGCGGAUUAAUUCGAUGCAACGCGAAGAACCUUACCAAGGCUUGACAUACACCAGAACGGGCCAGAAAUGGUCAACUCUUUGGACACUGGUGAACAGGUAAACAUGGUUGUCGUCAGCUCGUGUCGUGAGAUGUUGGGUUAAGUCCCGCAACGAGCGCAACCCUCGUUCUAUGUUGCCAGCACGUAAUGGUGGGAACUCAUGGGAUACUGCCGGGGUCAACUCGGAGGAAGGUGGGGAUGACGUCAAAUCAUCAUGCCCCUUAUGUCUUGGGCUUCACGCAUGCUACAAUGGCCGGUACAAAGGGCGGCAAUACCGUGAGGUGGAG
rnacentral:rRNA from 1 species